CAAAGCAAGUCUACUUGGGCCCAUGGUUCCAGAGGGAUAGAAUCUAUCAUGGCCAAGAAAAUACGGCAUGGUAACAGAAGUAUGAAACAGAGAAGUCACAUUCCACCCAUACACAGGAAGCCAGCAGAGAGAACAGAAUAAUGCUAUGAGCCCUCAAGACUCACUCUGUGACAUCCAUCCUCUAGCUCAGCUCUACCUCCUAAAGAUUCCAUAACCUGUGAAACAGCAGCACUGGAGACCAGUGUUCAGUGUGUGCGCGUGAGGGGGCAUGGCUCAUUCAAACCAUCACAGGUCCCUGAGUUGAAGCCACAAUGCAAGUCUUCUGCCCAGGCCAAUGUUUCAUGAUGAACUGUGUAGAAGUAGAGAGCCAGCAUCUCAGGAUCCAGUCUGCACCUCACAGGAACGAGGCAACGGUGUCUGUGGCAAAAUUUAGAUCAUUGUAUUAACACCCAGAUCAGAGCUGCAUGGCAAGAACCAUUUUCUCCUUCCUGAGAUAAUACCACUAAAGCACUGGGCAUCCCACUGGACUCCAUCGUGCAGCCAAGCACAAACUCAAAGCCUGCGUGUGUAGCCCUUCCUGUGAGGACCAUCUACGAGUAGCCUGGCACAGUUUCCUCAGAGACUCAGCUCAGGGUUUCUUUUAUUUUGUUUGUUUGGUUUUUUUGGGGGGGUGGUGGGAUUUUUCCCCCGCCUUUGUCAUCACUGAGGUGUUCACACUUGGAGCUGAAUUUCUGAAUUAAAUUGGAUAGUGUCCUUCUACAGGAA